CCUUACCUGGUCUUGACAUCCACGGAAUUCGGCAGAGAUGCCUUAGUGCCUUCGGGAACCGUGAGACAGGUGCUGCAUGGCUGUCGUCAGCUCGUGUUGUGAAAUGUUGGGUUAAGUCCCGCAACGAGCGCAACCCUUAUCCUUUGUUGCCAGCGGUCCGGCCGGGAACUCAAAGGAGACUGCCAGUGAUAAACUGGAGGAAGGUGGGGAUGACGUCAAGUCAUCAUGGCCCUUACGACCAGGGCUACACACGUGCUACAAUGGCGCAUACAAAGAGAAGCGACCUCGCGAGAGCAAGCGGACCUCAUAAAGUGCGUCGUAGUCCGGAUUGGAGUCUGCAACUCGACUCCAUGAAGUCGGAAUCGCUAGUAAUCGUGGAU
rnacentral:rRNA from 1 species